CUCAGGAUGAACGCUAGCGGCAGGCCUAACACAUGCAAGUCGAGGGGCAGCGGGGAAAAGCUUGCUUUUCCGCCGGCGACCGGCGCACGGGUGCGCACCGCGUAUGGAACCUGCCUUGUACAGGGGAAUAGCCCAGGGAAACUUGGAUUAAUGCCCCGUAGUACCGUAUUUCGGCAUCGUUAUACGGUUAAAGCCUUCGGGCGGUACAAGAUGGCCAUGCGUCCCAUUAGCUUGUUGGUAAGGUAACGGCUUACCAAGGCUACGAUGGGUAGGGGCCCUGAGAGGGGGAUCCCCCACACUGGUACUGAGACACGGACCAGACUCCUACGGGAGGCAGCAGUGAGGAAUAUUGGACAAUGGAGGAGACUCUGAUCCAGCCAUGCCGCGUGCAGGAAGAAUGCCCUAUGGGUAGUAAACUGCUUUUAUACGGGAAGAAAAAGAGCUACGUGUAGCUUACUGACGGUACCGUAAGAAUAAGGACCGGCUAACUCCGUGCCAGCAGCCGCGGUAAUACGGAGGGUCCGAGCGUUAUCCGGAAUUAUUGGGUUUAAAGGGUCCGUAGGCGGGCCGAUAAGUCAGGGGUGAAAGUCUGCCGCUCAACGGUAGAACUGCCUUUGAUACUGUCGGUCUUGAGUUAUAGUGAAGUUGCCGGAAUAUGUAGUGUAGCGGUGAAAUGCAUAGAUAUUACAUAGAACACCGAUUGCGAAGGCAGGUGACUAACUAUCGACUGACGCUGAUGGACGAAAGCGUGGGGAGCGAACAGGAUUAGAUACCCUGGUAGUCCACGCCGUAAACGAUGGAUACUAGCUGUCCGGAACCUUGAGUUCUGGGCGGCCAAGCGAAAGUGA
rnacentral:rRNA from 1 species